rnacentral:rRNA from 1 species
UACGUAGGGCGCGAGCGUUGUCCGGAAUUAUUGGGCGUAAAGAGCUCGUAGGCGGCCUGUUGCGUCCGCUGUGAAAUCCCGGGGCUCAACCUCGGGCCUGCAGUGGGUACGGGCAGACUAGAGUGCGGUAGGGGAGAAUGGAAUUCCUGGUGUAGCGGUGGAAUACGCAGAUAUCAGGAGGAACACCGAUGGCGAAGGCAGUUCUCUGGGCCGUAACUGACGCUGAGGAGCGAAAGCGUGGGGAGCGAACAGG